rnacentral:rRNA from 1 species
GAUACGCUACGGGCAGGCUAAUACAUGCAGUCGAACGGUGUCUUCGGACAUAGUGGCGCACGGGUGCGUAACACGUAUGCAACCUACCUUACAUUGGGGGAUAGCCUUUCGAAAGGGAGAUUAAUACCGCAUAAGACAGUAGCUGGGCAUCCAGCAGCUGUUAAAUAUUUAUCGAUGUAAGCUGGGCAUGCGUCCAAUUAGCUAGUUGGUGAGGUAAUGGCUCACCAAGGCAAUGAUUGGUAGGGGAACUGAGAGGUCAAUCCCCCACACUGGCACUGAGAUACGGGCCAGACUCCUACGGGAGGCAGCAGUAGGGAAUAUUGGGCAAUGGACGCAAGUCUGACCCAGCCAUGCCGCGUGCAGGAUGAAGGCGUUAUGCGUUGUAAACUGCUUUUAUACAGGAAGAAACGACUCUUGCGAGAGGCAUUGACGGUACUGUAUGAAUAAGCACCGGCUAACUCCGUGCCAGCAGCCGCGGUAAUACGGAGGGUGCAAGCGUUGUCCGGAUUUAUUGGGUUUAAAGGGUGCGCAGGUGGUUUAUUAAGUCAGUGGUGAAAGACGGUCGCUCAACGAUUGCAGUGCCAUUGAAACUGGUAGACUUGAGUAAAGUAGAGGUGGGCGGGAUUGAUAGUGUAGCGGUGAAAUGCAUAGAUAUUAUCAAGAACUCCAAUUGCGUAGGCAAGCUCACUUGGCUUUUACUGACACUCAUGCACGAAAGUGUGGGUAUCAAACAGGAUUAGAUAC